GACAGAGGCCUCGAGCGUUAGGCGGAAUCACUGGGCUUAAAGCGUGUGUAGGCGGAUCGUUAAGUGUCUUGUGAAAUCCCACGGCUCACCCGUGGAACUGCUGGGCAUACUGGCGAUCUUGGGCCAACUAGGGGCAGCCGGAACAAGCGGUGGAGCGGUGAAAUGCGUAGAUAUCGCUUGGAACGCCGAAGGUGAAAACAGGCUGCUGGGGUUGUGCCGACGCUGAGACACGAAAGCCAGGGGAGCAAACGGG
rnacentral:rRNA from 1 species